rnacentral:miRNA from 1 species
AAUGAAAGCUGUUUGCUGUAAU